rnacentral:rRNA from 1 species
GAUGAACGCUGGCGGCGUGCCUAAUACAUGCAAGUCGAGCGAACAGAUGAGGAGCUUGCUCCUCUGCCGUUAGCGGCGGACGGGUGAGUAACACGUGGAUCACCUACCUAUAAUACUGGGAUAACUUCGGGAAACCGGAGCUAAUACCGGAUAAUAUAUUGAACCGCAUGGUUCAAUAGUGAAAGACGGUUUUGCUGUCACUUAUAGAUGGAUCCGCGCCGCAUUAGCUAGUUGGUAAGGUAACGGCUUACCAAGGCAACGAUGCGUAGCCGACCUGAGAGGGUGAUCGGCCACACUGGAACUGAGACACGGUCCAGACUCCUACGGGAGGCAGCAGUAGGGAAUAUUCCGCAAUGGGCGAAAGCCUGACGGAGCAACGCCGCGUGAGUGAUGAAGGUCUUCGGAUCGUAAAACUCUGUUAUUAGGGAAGAACAAAUGUGUAAGUAAAUAUGCACGUCUUGACGGUACCUAAUCAGAAAGCCACGGCUAACUACGUG